AAAAAACCAAAUUUUUCACUAUCUUAAUCUAUUAUUAUCUUUCUAAUUAGUCUUUCUUUUGAAGUUUUAAUCUUUUUUUAGUGAAAUGGAUCCCAACAAUUCUUCUAAUUAUCCCAACAAUUCUCAAAAUCCCAACAAUUCUCAAAAUCCCAACAAUUAUCAAAACUCCAACAAUUAUCAAAACCCCAACAAUUAUCAAAAUCCCAACAAUUUGUUUCGUACUAUACGUUAUUUGUGUGUUGUUUCGUAUUUUAGGUUAAUUUGCAUCGUAUUAAUUACGUAACUUGUGUGUUGUAUUGCAUUUUAAGUUAAUUUGUAUCGUACUAAUUAC
rnacentral:lncRNA from 1 species